ACUCCUACGGGAGGCAGCAGUGGGGAAUAUUGCACAAUGGGGAAACCCUGAUGCAGCCAUGCCGCGUGUGUGAAGAAGGCCUUCGGUUGUAAAGCACUUUCAGUAGGGAGGAAGGUAGUGUAGUUAACACCUGCAUUAUUUGACGUUACCUACAGAAGAAGCACCGGCUAACUCCGUGCCAGCAGCCGCGGUAAUACGGAGGGGUGCGAGCGUUAAUCGGAAUUACUGGGCGUAAAGCGCAUGCAGGCGGCCUGUUAAGUCAGAUGUGAAAGCCCGGGGGCUUAACCUCGGAAUUGCAUUUGAAACUGGCAGGCUAGAGUCUUGUAGAGGGGGUAGAAUUUCAGGUGUAGCGGUGAAAUGCGUAGAGAUCUGAAGGAAUACCAGUGGCGAAGGCGGCCCCCUGGACAAAGACUGACGCUCAGAUGCGAAAGCGUGGGGAGCAAACAGGAUUAGAUACCCUGGUAGCUACGAG
rnacentral:rRNA from 1 species